rnacentral:rRNA from 1 species
UCUACGGGAGGCAGCAGUGAGGAAUAUUGGUCAAUGGGAGAGAUCCUGAACCAGCCAAGCCGCGUGAGGGAAGACGGCCCUAUGGGUUGUAAACCUCUUUUGUCGGAGAACAAAACCCGGGACGUGUCCCGGACUGCGUGUAUCCGAAGAAAAAGCAUCGGCUAACUCCGUGCCAGCAGCCGCGGUAAUACGGAGGAUGCGAGCGUUAUCCGGAUUUAUUGGGUUUAAAGGGUGCGUAGGCUGUUGGAUAAGUUCACGGGCAAAUGUCGGGGCUGAACCCCGGGCCUGCCGCUGAUACUGUUCGACUAGAGAGCGGAUGCAGCAGGCGGAAUGAGUAGUGUAGCGGUGAAAUGCUUAGAUAUUACUCAGAACACCGAUUGCGCAGGCAGCUGGCUAAUCCGCAGCUGACGCUGAUGCACGAAAGCGUGGGUAGCGAACAGGAUUAGAUACCCGUGUAGUC